CGGCUUGGGGGGGUGCCCGCUGGGUGUGGGGCGGCUCCGGGGCCGGGGAUGGCGGCGGCCGCGGUGGCGGCGGCUCCGGGACGAGCGGGAGGAGUCCUGGGAGCUCCGUGAGAUGGGCCGGUGAGUGUCGCCUGGAGCGGUGGCCGCUGGGAUGGCCUGAGGCCAAGCAGGCCUGGGUUCGGAGCUCUAGUGGAAGGGCCCCCCUAGAAGCCCGUUGCCUCACCCCGGCCGCGGGCCCCCUAAACAGCGGGCAGAGCGAGCGAAAGAGGCCGUGCCUAGCCCCUCUAGAUGCUGCUUUCCCGCCUGGCCCAGAAGGCGGCCUCAGGCCCUGAUGCCCCGACGGGGUUGUCCCCGCGGGUCAGGAUGUCCGAGUUCUCAGGGCGGGAAGGGGCCCCAAACAAGGAAGCGUCGCCAGCGGGGCCUGGCCUCACCUCCACGUCCGACCCCCUACCCCGACUAACCCUAAACGUAGACUCCCCCAGUUCAGGCCUGUACCCCUGUCGGAACAAGGAUCAUCAAAAGCCAUCAUCCCUGGUGUCUCUCCCUUUUUGCUGCUCCCUUUUUGUGGGGCGCACCUCUCCCUCAGUGAAUUUGGGUCCCCCUCGGUGUGCAGUCUCUUGAUUCCAUUCCCUGCAUGAAGAGGAGCUGCCUUCUCGGCUAGGUUGGCAGGUCUCUGGAAUAGUUCCGUUGCCCCUUAGCUCAGGGCCACAAGUUGUGUCAUUUCCCAUGAGAAAUUCUCCAAAGCUGCACCCUACACCCACACCCGGUUUCAGAUUUUGAAGUGUUUUGCCUUGUGGGAACCUGGUGGGCAGGCUGAGCUUUCUUUUUGCCUCUUUCCGUCCUUUCAUUAUUUUGUGUUUGCUAACUCCUCGGUGACCCAUAGACGGAUUUUCCUUAGCUUUUUUUUUUUUUUUAGCUACAGAGGGCAAGCAUCAUUUUGGGGGAUUAAGAAAAUGAAAGAAAGCUGAGUGCUUUCAAUUAAACGUUUGAUGAAGAAUGAGUGCGUGACUUGUACCCACUUGGUGAUUUAUUUGUGGCAUUAGGAAUCUGUUUUUCCACAUUUCCAUCUUUCGUGUACCCUUGAACCAUGCCUAUCUUAAGUAAACGUUGCCUUCAGUUGGAUCGAGCUUGCAAUAUUCUGACUUUGACAGAACAGGUUCCUCGGUACUAGUCAAUACUGCUAAUCCAGUUGUUAGGACUUCGUUGGCCCCGGUUUUGGUUUUGGUUGUUUUCUUUUGAGAGGGUCUUAUGGAGCUCAGGCUGACUUCUGACUUGCUAAAUAAUCGAAUGUAGUUGGUGAGUACCUUGAACUCACGAUCCUCUUCUUUCUACCUCAAAGGUAGUAAGAUUACAAAGUGUCCACUCCCAUUUCCAAUCUGUGAGGUGCUAGAGAUGUAACCUCGGGCUGGAUGCAUGCUAGGCAGGCACUUUACCAACUGAGCUGCAUCCGGAGCCUUGAAAGGCCAUGUUCUUUAAUUAUUGAUGUUUCUGGCAAGUGUGGAUUCAGAUAUUGGUAGCUUAGUAAUAGUUUUGUUCCCCUUUGUUAGCUUCAUAGAAUCAAAAUGGCGUUUUCAUUUUCUUUCACAUUUCAUUCAGUACUUAGUGUAAAGUCACGUAUAAAAUUGUGUGUGUGCGCGCGCACAUACACACACACAGGAGCCCUUUUACUUUUACUCAGAAAAUCUGUUAAUAUAGCUUUCACUUUGAGUAACUCCCCCUUGACCUCUUUCUCUGCCCCAGAAACAUAAAUAAUUGUUCCUUUUCCUCUAGUGACAGCUUUCUUAUUUGAAUAAUCUCUACAUCUGUGUGUUCAUGGGCCACUAAUAAAGCAGAAACUCCCAGCUUCUCAUUGCUCACAUGCAGGCAGUAUGAAGUCUCUCAUCUUUAUUUGUGCAUUUAAGCAAAAUUUGGACUGGAAAUGAGCUUGCUCAUUGGGGAGUGGGGUAGAGAAUGAAGAAUGAAGGAUGGUAAAGAAACCACUGAAAUCAACACAUAGAAAUUUCUUUCCAGGGAUGUCUUACAAAAAUGAAAGCAUAAAGAUUUUUUUCAUUCUUGUUUUUUUUGUUUUUUGUUGUUGUUUUGGUCUUGUGUGUGACGGCCAGAGGCCAGCUUUUAGGAGUCCCUGCAGCUUAGGUCCCAGGAAGGGAACAGGUCUGGGCAGCAAGUGCAUUUACCUACUGAGCCAUCUCAUUAGCCCUGGAUUGUUUUUUUUUUUUUUCCUUCAGUUUCCUGGGCACUCGGGUAUACGUGCUGUUACCACUGGGUUGAGAAUGAAGCAAGAACUUAGGGAGGUCAGUGGUUUUUGGUGGCUUUGGAAUUGCCUUUCAGGAUGGCCCGGGGAAGGUGAGAGCUCUGCCUCCAGCUGACAUCAGCCUUGUGUCUUCUAGGCUCCCAAACCAGAGGGGAGGACACGUACUGCAGCUGCUCAGCCCCACCAGACGCGCAGGUAAUAGAGGCACUGUGGAGGCCUUGUUUCAGGAAAAAACAAAACAAAAAACCGUGGCACGUGACAGUGGAAAAACAGAAUUCAGCCUGAUUGGAAAAAUUAUUGCCAAAGUUCAUAUGCAUUGAAGUGUUCAUACAAAAAAGAUGCUUUCUGAUUUUUUUUAACCACCACCACC
rnacentral:lncRNA from 1 species